AUUGAACGCUGGCGGCAUGCUUUACACAUGCAAGUCGAACGGCAGCGCGGGCUUCGGCCUGGCGGCGAGUGGCGAACGGGUGAGUAAUACAUCGGAACGUGCCCAGUAGUGGGGGAUAGCUCGGCGAAAGCCGGAUUAAUACCGCAUACGACCUGAGGGUGAAAGCGGGGGAUCUUCGGACCUCGCGCUAUUAGAGCGGCCGAUGGCGGAUUAGCUAGUUGGUGGGGUAAAGGCCUACCAAGGCGACGAUCGGUAGCUGGUCUGAGAGGACGACCAGCCACACUGGGACUGAGACACGGCCCAGACUCCUACGGGAGGCAGCAGUGGGGAAUUUUGGACAAUGGGCGAAAGCCUGAUCCAGCAAUGCCGCGUGUGUGAUGAAGGCCUUCGGGUUGUAAAGCACUUUUGGCGGGAACGAAAAGGACUGUGCCAAUACCACGGUUCGAUGACGGUACCCGCAGAAUAAGCACCGGCUAACUACGUG
rnacentral:rRNA from 1 species